rnacentral:lncRNA from 1 species
GGCCCCCGCCGCCUCUGUACCAGGGAGAGCGCCUGGAAGGCGCCGCUGCCUCUCUCUCCCUACGUGCCCACCUGCCUCUAGGAACUGCUAAGACCGCUAAUACAAUGCUGGAUAGAAGUGGUGAUCACAGACAGUCUUGUUACUCAUUUGAAAGGGAAAGCCUUCAGUGUCUCAACACUAGAAGAAUUUCCACUACUGUGAACUUCCUGGCCUCUUACCAGAACCAAAUUAUCUGAUUUGAGGAUUUAAAAGAAGGAAACAGGCAUGCUUGGCUCAGCCUCUGUCUUUCUGGCUCUGCCUUUCUGCAGUGAGGAUGCAUCUUUUCUUGCUCACCUGCCAAUGCUAAAAGAAGACUUUAUGGGCUAGUGACAUGGAAGGUUUGUGUUGAUUCUGAUCUGCCUUUGACUGGAUGGAUAAGUUGAAUUCCAUAAUUCAGUAUUAGAAAACUCACUUGGCUCACAGCUACACCAUGUCCCCUAAUGUAACUUUUAUCAGCAAUAGCACUAUAGAGUAACAAAGUAACAGAUGAUGACCAUAUGUCUGACUCUAGUAUUUCUCUAUCAAAUGGUUCUGAGCUUGGGCAGGAAUGAAAAUGUAUUUACUGACAUCUCAAAAUGAUUAUAAUCACAAUACUGGGCCAUCCUGACCAUUUAUCAGAAGUCCAGAAGUCAAGAUUCCGUGGUCGGAAAUCUCUUUUGACCACCAGCAGAAGAAAAUAAAAAAGUCUGAAGCAACUGUAAAACAUACCUUUUUCCUCCAACGUAACCAAGAAGACUCGUCCUACUUUGUGUACCCACAAAAGCUACAAGAUCCAUCAACAGAAAUUAGUUUAUGAAAUCUAGAAUUGUGGGAAUGACAUUAAAGAGUCUCAGUGAAUUACUUCUUAGAUUGAAAUUUAAGAUUUUCCUGACCAUGCUCCCAGAGUAUCACCCCUUAACAAGAAGGCUCUUCAUUUAUAUGGUAUGAUGUCCAAAAAAUGGCUAUCAUUCUUUUAAAUCAUAUAAAAGUAUUAAUGAAAGUAUUAAAAGUUUUAUUUCAAUAAUUUGCUUCAGUGAAACCAUUAAAACUGUAGAAUAUAACUUUGAUAUUUAAAUAUUUUAAAUAUUAAUGGUUACCUUUACCACUGCUAUUAUUGUGAUCAACCAGCUUCUAUUUGUAGAAGAGUUAAAAGAGGUUAAAUGUCUUGCAAUGCAAUGACAUAAAUGUCAUGCAACACUACAAUGACAGAAUCUAAGACAAACAAAAAUUUAAAAUAUUUCUCUUAAUACUUUCUAUUAAAAAUAUUCUGAGCCAUUCUGCUGUUACAGGACACAUUUGUAAUAAAGUUCAUUUUAUUAUACUCCCCAAGUUUUUUAAACAAACAGAUCAAUUUCUAGGUGUUUUUAACAAAAGAAAAUCCGAGCUAUCGUGGUUCCAUUUUCCUCAUUGUUUAUUCAACUAUUCACUGACUUUUUGAGUAUCACUUAGUGUUUCAAAGUCAUGGCUUAAUUUCUUCUAUCCUGAAUAGUACUACAACUUACAAAUAUUAAAACUUAGAUUCAAUGCCAUCCGCAUCAAGCUACCAAUGACUUUCCUCACAGAAUUGGAAAAAACUACUUUAAAGUUCAUAUGGAACCAAAAAGAGCCCGCAUCGCCAAGUCAAUCCUAAGCCAAAAGAACAAAGCUGGAGGCAUCACGCUACCUGACUUCAAACUAUACUACAAGGCUACAGUAACCAAAACAGCAUGGUACUGGUACCAAAACAGAGAUAUAGAUCAAUGGAACAGAACAGAGCCCUCAGAAAUAAUGCCGCAUAUCUACAACUAUCCGAUCUUUGAGAAACCUGAGAAAAAUAAGCAAUGGGGAAAGGAUUCCCUAUUUAAUAAAUGGUGCUGGGAAAACUGGCUAGCCAUAUGUAGAAAGCUGAAACUGGAUCCCUUCCUUACACCUUAUACAAAAAUUAAUUCAAGAUGGAUUAAAGACUUAAAUGUUAG